rnacentral:rRNA from 1 species
AGAGUUUGAUCAUGGCUCAGAUUGAACGCUGGCGGCGUGCUUAACACAUGCAAGUCGUGCGAGAAAGUCUGCUUCGGUGGGCGAGUACAGCGGCGCACGGGUGAGUAACGCGUGGAUUAUCUACCGCGAGGACUGGGAUAACAGGUGGAAACGCCUGCUAAUACCGGGUACGCAUCAUAUUUUAUAUGGUGGAAAGAUGGCCUCUGCUUGCAAGCUAUCGCCUUGUGAUGAGUCCGCGUCCCAUUAGCUAGUUGGCGGGGUAAUGGCCCACCAAGGCAACGAUGGGUAGCUGGUCUGAGAGGAUGAUCAGCCACACUGGAACUGAAACACGGUCCAGACUCCUACGGGAGGCAGCAGUGGGGAAUAUUGCGCAAUGGGCGAAAGCCUGACGCAGCGACGCCGCGUGAGGGAAGAAGGCCUUCGGGUCGUAAACCUCUGUCAGGAGGGAAGAAGUGGAGUAUGGCUAAUAUCCAUGCUCUUUGACGGUACCUCCGGAGGAAGCACCGGCUAACUCCGUGCCAGCAGCCGCGGUAAUACGGAGGGUGCGAGCGUUAAUCGGAAUCACUGGGCGUAAAGCGCGCGUAGGCGGCUUUGUAAGUCAAGUGUGAAAGCCCUCGGCUCAACCGGGGAACUGCGCUUGAUACUGCAUGGCUUGAGUCCUGGAGAGGGUGGCGGAAUUCCCGGUGUAGGAGUGAAAUCCGUAGAUAUCGGGAGGAACACCAGUGGCGAAGGCGGCCACCUGGACAGGUACUGACGCUGAGGUGCGAAAGUGUGGGGAGCAAACAGGAUUAGAUACCCUAGUAGUCC